GCAAGGGAGCCCGGAGACAGGUGGUGCAUGGCUGUCGUCAGCUCGUGUCGUGAGGAUGUUGGAUUAAGUUCCGCAACGAGCGCAACCCUCGUCGCGUGUUGCCAGCGGGUCAUGCCGGGCACUCACGCGAGGACUGCCGCAGCAAUGUGGAGGAAGGUGGGAUGACGUCAAGUCAGCAUGCCCCGUACGCCCUGGGCUACACACAUACUACAAUGCGAGGGGCAAACAGUUGCCAACCCGUGAGGGGGAGCCAAUCUGAGAAGCCCUCGCUCAGUGCAGAUCGCAGGCUGCAACUCGCCUGCGUGAAGGCGGAAUCGCUAGUAACCGUCGGUCAGCAUUACGACGGUGAAUACGUUCCCGGGCCUU
rnacentral:rRNA from 1 species